rnacentral:rRNA from 1 species
UACGUAGGGUGCGAGCGUUGUCCGGAAUUAUUGGGCGUAAAGCGCUCGCAGGUGGUUCGUCGCGUCGUGCGUGAAAGACCCCGGCUCAACUGGGGGGCGUCGUGCGAAACGGGCGGACUGGAGGCCAGUAGGGGGAUGCGGAAUUCCGGGUGUAGUGGUGGAAUGCGUAGAGAUCCGGAGGAACACCAGCGGCGAAGGCGGCAUCCUGGACUGGUCCUGACACUCAUGAGCGAAAGCGUGGGGAGCGAUCCGG